rnacentral:lncRNA from 1 species
AAAAGGCAAAACAAAGGGGGGAGCACAAAGGGGCCCUCCCUUCCCCUAGUGGCCAUAACAGUGAGCUGAAUUCCAGCCAGAGAACAGGCCAUCUGGCCCCAGGCCUGGUUUCCUAGGGUUUCAAAGUCUCCUGGGUAAAUACAGAUCUGCCAGGCCUCUUCAGUCCUGGAAAUAUCUGAGGCUACUUGGCAAGUCUUUGGACUGCAGAGCAUGUCCUCCUCUAGGAAACUUCUCUCCACCUGCAAGAUCCACCUUCACAUCUCCACAGACAACCCCAUGCCUUCCCACAUCCCCUGCCUGAUCCAGGACUCUGAUAUACAACAAUUAGAUCUUGGUGCUCACUCACACACACACACACAACACAUGUGUGCUCACUCACAGGCACGCACCCACACCUGCCAUCAGGCCUGCCACCAGCUCUGAGAUGUGGCUUGGAAUCGAUCUCCAGGGAAGUAUGCUCGGGAGGGACCAGGAGCCUGUGAGCCCAGGCCUAGAGGCUGCAAGCACCUCCGCUCCUCACCACGGCCAUCCUUGCCCUGCACGGAUUAUGGACUUCUCACUGAGAGUUCAGAGCCUGGAAACUAGUUGGAAGGCAGAUCACCAACUCCUGAAGCCAGCUUGACUAUGUGGACACAUGAACCAGAAUGCCCAAGCCACGCCAAGAUUUCCAAAGCCAAAAUGUGUCUCUAUGAAUUUUGGUCCCAGUCCACUAGUAACAGAUGUUUCCAGAAACUGAGAGGGGG